rnacentral:rRNA from 1 species
GACGAACGCUGGCGGCGUGCUUAACACAUGCAAGUCGAGCGGUAAGGCCCUUUCGGGGGUACACGAGCGGCGAACGGGUGAGUAACACGUGGGUGACCUGCCUCCUAGCUCGUGGGACUAAGCCUAGGGAAGCUGGGUCUAAUACCGGAUAUGACCUCGCGGUGCAUGUUGCGGGGUGGAAAGCCUUGUGCGGCUAGGGAUGGGCCCGCGGCCUAUCAGCUUGUUGGUGGGGUGAUGGCCUACCAAGGCGACGACGGGUAGCCGGCCUGAGAGGCGACGGCCACACUGGGACUGAGACACGGCCCAGACUCCUACGGGAGGCAGCAGUGGGGAAUCUUGCGCAAUGGGCGAAAGCCUGACGCAGCGACGCCGCGUGAGGGAUGAC